ACUACCGAUUGAAUGGCUUAGUGAGAUCUCCGGAUUGGCUUUAGGAAGCUGGCGACGGCCUCCUUUAGCUGAGAAGCUGAUCAAACUUGGUCAUUUAGAGGAAGUAAAAGUCGUACAAGG
rnacentral:rRNA from 1 species